rnacentral:rRNA from 1 species
UACGAGGGGGGCGAGCGUUAUUCGGAAUCACUGGGCGUAAAGCGUGCGUAGGCUGUUCAGCAAGUUGGAAGUGAAAGCCCAGGGCUUAACCCUGGAAUUGCUUUCAAAACUGCUGGACUCGAAUCUCGGAGAGGAUAGCGGAAUUGUCAGUGUAGCAGUGAAAUGCGUAGAUAUUGACAGGAACACCAGUGGCGUAAGCGGCUAUCUGGACGAGUAUUGACGCUGAGGCACGAAAGCGUGGGGAUCAAACAGG